rnacentral:rRNA from 1 species
UACGUAGGGUGCGAGCGUUGUCCGGAAUUACUGGGCGUAAAGAGCUCGUAGGUGGUUUGUCGCGUUGUUCGUGAAAUCUCACGGCUUAACUGUGAGCGUGCGGGCGAUACGGGCAGACUAGAGUACUGCAGGGGAGACUGGAAUUCCUGGUGUAGCGGUGGAAUGCGCAGAUAUCAGGAGGAACACCGGUGGCGAAGGCGGGUCUCUGGCAGUAACUGACGCUGAGGAGCGAAAGCGUGGGGAGCGAACAGG